rnacentral:rRNA from 1 species
UGGGGAAUUUUGGACAAUGGGCGAAAGCCUGAUCCAGCAAUGCCGCGUGUGUGAAGAAGGCCUUCGGGUUGUAAAGCACUUUUUGUCCGGAAAGAAAUCCUUGGCUCUAAUACAGUCGGGGGAUGACGGUACCGGAAGAAUAAGCACCGGCUAACUACGUGCCAGCAGCCGCGGUAAUACGUAGGGUGCAAGCGUUAAUCGGAAUUACUGGGCGUAAAGCGUGCGCAGGCGGUUUGCUAAGACCGAUGUGAAAUCCCGGGCGUCAACCUGGGAACUGCAUUGGUGACUGGCAGGCUAGAGUAUGGCAGAGGGGGGUUAGAAUUCCACGUGUAGCAGUGAAAUGCGUAGAGAUGUGGAGGAAUACCGAUGGCGAAGGCAGCCCCCUGGGCCAAUACUGACGCUCAUGCACGAAAGCGUGGGGAGCAAACAGGAUUAGAUACCCUGGUAGUCCACGCCCUAAACGAUGUCAACUAGUUGUUGGGGAUUCAUUUCCUUAGUAACGUAGCUAACGCGUGAAGUUGACCGCCUGGGGAGUACGGUCGCAAGAUU